UACGUAGGGGGCUAGCGUUGUCCGGAUUUAUUGGGCGUAAAGAGCGUUGUAGGCGGCCAGGUAGGUCUGCUGUGAAAACUCGAGGCUCAACCUCGAGACGUCGGCGGAAACCAUCUGGCUAGAGUCCGGAAGAGGAGAGUGGAAUUCCUGGUGUAGCGGUGAAAUGCGCAGAUAUCAGGAAGAACACCCGUGGCGAAGGCGGCUCUCUGGGACGGUACUGACGCUGAGACGCGAAAGCGUGGGGAGCGAACAGG
rnacentral:rRNA from 1 species